AUUGAACGCUGGCGGCAGGCCUAACACAUGCAAGUCGAACGGUAGCACAGAGAGCUUGCUCUCGGGUGACGAGUGGCGGACGGGUGAGUAAUGUCUGGGAAACUGCCCGAUGGAGGGGGAUAACUACUGGAAACGGUAGCUAAUACCGCAUAACGUCUUCGGACCAAAGAGGGGGACCUUCGGGCCUCACACCAUCGGAUGUGCCCAGAUGGGAUUAGCUAGUAGGUGGGGUAAUGGCUCACCUAGGCGACGAUCCCUAGCUGGUCUGAGAGGAUGACCAGCCACACUGGAACUGAGACACGGUCCAGACUCCUACGGGAGGCAGCAGUGGGGAAUAUUGCACAAUGGGCGCAAGCCUGAUGCAGCCAUGCCGCGUGUAUGAAGAAGGCCUUCGGGUUGUAAAGUACUUUCAGCGGGGAGGAAGGCGAUGUGGUUAAUAACCGCAUCGAUUGACGUUACCCGCAGAAGAAGCACUGGCUAACUCCGUGCCAGCCGCCGCAGUAAUAC
rnacentral:rRNA from 1 species